GAUGAAGAACGUAGCGAAAUGCGAUACGUAGUGUGAAUUGCAGAAUUCAGUGAAUCAUCGAAUCUUUGAACGCACAUUGCACCUCUCGGUAUUCCGGGAGGUAUGCCUGUUCGAGCGUCAUUUGUACCCUCAAGCUCUGCUUGGUGUUGGGUGUUUGUUCCGCCUCUGUGUGUGAACUCGCCUCAAAACAAUUGGCAGCCGGCGUACUUGUUUCGGAGCGCAGCACAUUUUGCGAUCCAGAUCAACGUACAGCGGCAUCCAAGAAGCCUUAUUUAACGCUCUUGACCUCGGAUCAGGUAGGGAUACCCGCUGAACUUAAGCAUAUCAAUACGGAGGA
rnacentral:misc_RNA from 1 species